AACCAGGUUUUCCGAAGGAAAAAACUGGUUAUUAGAUUGGCGAAUGCGGGCGGGCUGGCUGGCUGGCUGGCGGGCUGGCGGAAUAAGCUUGUCUGGGCCAUAACUAUGUCGUUCAUUGUCAGAUUUUAAAAUCAUUUGGCACAUUUGUUCACCAUCAUUGGACGGUGUGUCGCGCGAAAUAAUUACGUCGAUAUCUCCAAGGUCAAGGUCACACUUUGAGUUCAAAGGUCAAAAAU